UCCCUCUGAGCUUCUCAACUGGAGAGUUUCCAGUACUCUACCAAUCUCAAUUAUGGGAGGGAGAGUCAAGCAGAGGUACAUCCAUUCCAUUCCUAGCUUGGGCAGUUGGCUAGCGAGUGGAAGGCAAUCUGCUACAAGU